rnacentral:rRNA from 1 species
CAGAGGGGGCAAGCGUUGUUCGGAAUUACUGGGCGUAAAGGGCGCGUAGGCGGCCCGCUAAGUCGAACGUGAAAUCCCCGAGCUCAAUUCGGGAACUGCGUCCGAUACUGGCGGGCUUGAAUCCGGGAGAGGGAUGCGGAAUUCCAGGUGUAGCGGUGAAAUGCGUAGAUAUCUGGAGGAACACCGGUGGCGAAGGCGGCAUCCUGGACCGGCAUUGACGCUGAGGCGCGAAAGCUAGGGGAGCAAACGGGAUUAGAUACCCCGGUAGUCCUAGCCCUAAACGAUGAAUGCUUGGUGUGGCGGGUAUCGAUCCCUGCCGUGCCGAAGCUAACGCAUUAAGCAUUCCGCCUGGGGAGUACGGUCGCAAGGCUG